rnacentral:rRNA from 1 species
GAUUGGUAGUUUGGCUGGGGCGGCCACCUCCUAAAAAGUAACGGAGGUGUAUAUAAGUUUUUAAAUUAUUAUAAUUUUUAUUAUUAUGAAUUGAAAUAAAUUUUUUAAAAUUGAUUAUUAUACAGACAAGUAUAGUAAGGAGUAUUUCUAUUAUAUUGACCCGGUAUAUUUUAGUAGAAAAAUUAUCGAGUAACGAAUAAAAGGUACGCUAGGGAUAACAGGCUAAUGAAUUUUGAGAGUUCUUAUUGAUAAAUUCGUUUGGCACCUCUAUGUCGGCUUAUCACAUCCUGG